UAAAAGUUCGAAAAGAGAGAUUCAACGUCAGUAUGUAUUGUAUUCACGUGAGUAGUGAUGCAAGUUUUUGGUAAGAGGGUCAAAUCUUUUAUCAAUACUUGCACAUUUUCAUGUUAUUUUAUUGCAAUACUAUUGCCGGCGUGCACUUCUCUCUUAGUAGGACGUCCCGACCCGUUGAGUCUUGGCCUACGGCACAGAUGGUAGCCUUUAAUAUUUUAUAUUAAAGASCUCUGAUGUWCUCCUGGCUAAAGUACUCGACGGUAGUUUAAGAUAUGGUGUCCAGCCGCAGAAAUGCGUCCGGCCUGUCGCAAGUUUUUGACAUAUUCCGUAUUACAUAGACUUAGUGCCAUGUWGAUGGUUGUGUCGCUUUGCAUGACUGUGCUUUAGGACUGGCUUACCUCCCUGUU
rnacentral:rRNA from 1 species